UACAGAGGGUGCGAGCGUUGUCCGGAAUCACUGGGCGUAAAGGGCGCGUAGGCGGCUUUUCAAGCGUGCGGUGAAAGCUCGGGGCUUAACUCCGAGUCUGCCGUGCGAACUGGGAGGCUUGAGUCUGGUAGAGGUCGAUGGAAUUCCGGGUGUAGCGGUGGAAUGCGUAGAGAUGUGGAGGAACACCAAUGGCGAAGGCAGCCUCCUGGGCCAACACUGACACUCAGGCACGAAAGCGUGGGGAGCAAACAGG
rnacentral:rRNA from 1 species